rnacentral:rRNA from 1 species
GAUGAACGCUGGCGGCGUGCCUAAUACAUGCAAGUCGAGCGAACAGACGAGGAGCUUGCUCCUCUGACGUUAGCGGCGGACGGGUGAGUAACACGUGGAUAACCUACCUAUAAGACUGGGAUAACUUCGGGAAACCGGAGCGAAUACCGGAUAAUAUAUUGAACCGCAUGGUUCAAUAGUGAAAGACGGUUUUGCUGUCACUUAUAGAUGGAUCCGCGCCGCAUUGGCUAGUUGGUAAGGUAACGGCUUACCAAGGCAACGAUGCGUAGCCGACCUGAGAGGGUGAUCGGCCACACUGGAACUGAGCCACGGUCCAGACUCCUACGGGAGGCAGCAGUAGGGAAUCUUCCGCAAUGGGCGAAAGCUUGACGGAGCAACGCCGCGUGAGUGAUGAAGGUCUUCGGAUCGUAAAACUCUGUUAUUAGGGAAGAACAAAUGUGUAAGUAACUAUGCACGUCUUGACGGUACCUAAUCAGAAAGCCACGGCUAACUACGUG